rnacentral:rRNA from 1 species
UCCUGGCUCAGAGCGAACGUUAGCGGCGCGCCUAACACAUGCAAGUCGCACGAGAAAGGGGGCAACCCCCCGGUACAGUGGCGCACGGGUGAGUAACACGUGGGUGAUCUGCCCAGAAGAAGGGGAUAACCUCUCGAAAGGGGGGCUAAUACCGCAUAGGACCACCGGGGCUCUGGCUCUGUGGUGAAAGGGGGCCUCUGUUUACAAGCUCCUGCUUCUGGAUGAGCCCGCGUCCCCAUCAGCUAGUUGGUAGGGUAAUGGCCUACCAAGGCUACGACGGGUAGCUGGUCUAAGAGGAUGGCCAGCCACACUGGAACUGAGACACGGUCCAGACUCCUACGGGAGGCAGCAGUGGGGAAUCUUGCGCAAUGGGCGAAAGCCUGACGCAGCGACGCCGCGUGGGU